UACGUAGGGGGCUAGCGUUGUCCGGAAUCACUGGGCGUAAAGGGCGCGUAGGUGGCUUUGUAAGUUUGCGGUGAAAGCCCGGGGCUCAACCCCGGGUCUGCCGUGGAUACUGCAAGGCUUGAGUACUGUAGAGGCAGGUAGAAUAUCGGGUGUAGCGGUGGAAUGCGUAGAGAUCCGAUAGAAGACCGGUGGCGAAGGCGGCCUGCUGGGCAGUAACUGACACUGAGGCGCGACAGCGUGGGGGAGCAAACAGG
rnacentral:rRNA from 1 species